rnacentral:snoRNA from 1 species
GCAUGGGUUUGGAUUUAGGGCAGGGCUGUCCCCCUGGGUCUGUCAUGGUGCCCCGUGCCAGAGCAGACUGUGGCCUGGAACCAUUUGCCUGCCUCUACCCUAGGCUGCAGGCACUGAAGACAUUAAAAAAUA